rnacentral:rRNA from 1 species
GGCGACCGCUUUGGGAGUUCGAUUAAGCCAUGCGAGUCGUGAGUCUUAGGGACUCGGCAUACUGCUCAGUAACACGUGGAUAACCUGCCCUAUCGUUCGGAAUAACCUCGGGAAACUGAGAAUAAGGCCGGAUAGUUUACAAUGCCUGGAACGGUUUGUGAAUCAAGGUAGGAUGGGUCUGCGGCGUAUCAGGUUGUAGGGGGUGUAAAGGACCCCCUAGCCUUCGACGCGUACGGGUGUUGGGAGACAUAGCCCGGAGAUGGAUUCUGAGACACGAAUCCAGACCCUACGGGGUGCAGCAGGCGCGAAAACUUCACACUGCAGGAAACUGUGAUGAGGGAACUCCUAGUGCAUGCACUAUGUGUAUGUAGAUCCUACUCUUAACAAGUAGAGGGAAAGGGCUGGGAAAGACCGGUGCCAGCCGCCGCGGUAAUACCGGCAGCUCAAGUGGUCGUCGCUUUUAUUGGGCCUAAAACGUCCGUAGCCUGUUUGGUAAAUCUGUGGGUAAAUCAAUCCGCUCAACGGAUUGAAUUCUGCAGAGACUGCCAGACUAGGGACCGGGAGAGGUGUGGGGUACUCGAGGGGUAGGGGUAAAAUCCUGUCAUCCUUCGAGGACCACCAGUUGCGAAGGCGCCACACUGGAACGGAUCCGACGGUCUGGGACGAAGCCUAGGGGCACGAACCGGAUUAGAUACCCGGGUAGUCCUAGGUGUAAACGCUGUGAACUUGGUGUCGGGGGUCCGCAAGGGGUCCCCGGUGCCGGAGUGAAGAUGUUAAGUUCACUGCCUGGGGAGUACGGUCGCAAGGCUGAAACUUAAAGGAAUUGGCGGGGGAGCACUGCAACGGGAGGAGCGUGCGGUUU